AUGAUAGGUUUUGAAAAAGAUUUUUCAUGUCAUUCCCAUUUAGGUUCGAUUCGGAUCCCUCUGUUGUUUCCCUUUCCUCCCGAACCUUUUCCUCGAAAUGAUAAAGAAUCUGGUACACUCGAAUUGUAUUAUUUAAGUGCUUAUUGCUUGCCAAAAAUCCUACUUCUACAAUUGGUAGGUCACCGGGUUAUUCAAAUAAGUCGUGUUUUCUGUGCUUUUCCCAUGUUACAACUUCCGUACCAAUUCGAUCGAUCCGGAAUGGAUCGGUUAAACAUUCUAUUAGGGAGCCCGGUCUUGACUCUUCUGUGUGGUAUUCAUUCUCGUUCGGCUCUUGGAAUCACAUCCAGCAGUGGUUGGAACAGCUCGCAAAAUCCAACCACUUCACCUACUUUAUUGCCCCCAACCGUUUCCCGUACCUCUAUAGAAACAGAAGGGUUUCAUGUUCUUUCAUCGAUUGGGUAUUCCUCUCCUUUUGUAUCUCUUUAUCCAAUUUCGGUCUCGAUUAGUUCACAAGAUUGA
rnacentral:rRNA from 1 species